UGGCUUCGGGCUUGUCGACAACCACACGCGCACAGAUGAGCUGCAAGAGGUUCGACUGCCGAUUAGAGCUCACAAAGAGUGCUACUUGUCAAAAAGGAAGUUUUUCGGGAAAUAUUUGCGGCCGGGAAAGAAUUUUUGCGCCGGCUACACGAAUGGAACAACCACUUGCAACGGAGACAGCGGAGGCAGCUUUUCGGUGGAAAAAAACGGCCGCUGGUUCAUCAGGGGCAUUGUCAGCUUUGGAAUGUCGAAAAUAGUGGAGUUUGAAGGCGAAGAAAGAUCUUUUUGUCAUCCUUAUCAAUAUUCCUUGUUCGCCGACGUCGCAAGUUACGUGGACUGGAUCGUGGAAAACACGCCGGAAAUUUCAUUCCGGAAUUAAAUGUGUUUUUUGAUAGUAAAGUUUGUAGUUAUUGAAUAGUAAAAAGUAGAUAGACUAGCUUAUAGAAAUAUUUUUCUAUGGUUUUUGAGAAUAAAUGGUUGUAGAAGUUUUGA